GCUGGGUGCCAUGCAAAAUGUAAUGUGUAACUCAAAUGUAUUGAAGUAAAGUGUGCAGAUGCUUAUUCAAAAGUGCUUAUAUCUAUCAGAUGUUUGUACACAGCAGAUGCUUUCCAGAUGAAGCGAUCUUUAACAGACAUCUCGCAAACGUUCGUGUGCUAUCUGGGUUGGCAAUAUAUACAACAACAGAGCAUCACAAUAAAGAGCGUGAGUAAUGAGGCCAAAGUGCAAAUGAUGAAAGAGAUUACGCCCGUGGGAGGAAACUGUUAAAUGUUCUACUGUAUAUGUGGUUUAGUUCAGCAUAUAGAAUGUCAAUGUGUGAUUUUGGCUUGCAUUAAUAUGCAGCAAAUUAUGUCUGUGUUUGUACAGCCGCACCUGAAGAAUUCAGCGUAGACCACACCCUAGCUCGAGGGGAAACUAUAGUGUUUUGCUGCAUGACCGGUCAUCUCAUAAACACUAAGCAUGUGUAUGCAAGCUUUUACAAAAGAGAUUCAGAUGAAAUACAUUUUGAUGCAUCCACAAAACCAUCACAUGAAACAUGACGCUCUCUUGUGGCUGCUGGGAUACAUUGGAGAUGUAAGUGAAAUAAAUGAAUUAUUUACCUAACAAAUGAUACAUUUAGAACAAUAAAAUGGGUUGAUUUGCAGAAUCAAUUUCAUUGUUAACACUUUAACAAACAUAAACAAUAAUGCCAAAAUAACAUUUUCUAUGUAAGUUUGUCAAUGCUGUCAUCUCUGUACAAUAUUUGUACAAUUUAGAACAUUUAUUUUCUGAAUGAAAAAUAUAGUUGUUUACAAUGGGAUAUAAUUUAGCUCUGCUGACAGCUGUAACUUGUUAAAUCAUCUAAACCAACAACAUGUUAGACCCUAUUCUAUCUAAGAUCUUAAAAGAGCUGGUUCCAGAAGUCAUAGAUCCUCUUCUGACUAUUAUUAAUUCAGCAUUGUCAUUACAGUAGGUUAUGUAUUAAGCCUCUCAUCACGUGAGAUAAACGUGACUCAAUACAACAGUGGGACUACAGUAAAAAAGCUAUUAUCAAUCUAAAAACACAGAUGUGUUGCCAUUAAUGGAACUGAAAGGGUUUGUCUAACCUGAAACACACAUGGUCGUAGUCAUGUGGUGAAUCUGGCCAAUCAUGAAACAGCUGUGUCGUCAUCAGCGCUCCUGCAGUCACUCUGGAGAAACUGUGGCGGCUGAGUCAGCCGGCUGCUCUCGAAACACUCUCGCGGUACUUUGUGGCUUCGGCACCGUCUCAAGUCGGACAAAAUAUCUAACCGGCAUGCACUGCUUCAAGUCAGACUGCGAUCAGGUUGUGCACUACUGCGUGAAGUCGAACGCACCUUCAAUUUAUCGUUUCCCUCUCAAACGUGAUUGGAUUGUGCAGGCGCCUGCAUGUCAAUGUGAGAGGAAGGGGCUUAAUACUGUCACUCAAAUGAGCUGAAUUUUAGUUUUCCUUCUUUGUAUGCUGACCUAAACACAGCUGAUUUUCAUUAUUAUUUUCUCUUCUAUGCUGCGUGUAUAACAUGGUCAGGUUCAGAGGUGUGUCAGAACAUUGCUAUAUUGCCUUCUUUGCUGGUUUAGGUUUAUUGAUUUGAUUGAUGAAAA